ACUCAAAGGAAUAGACGGGGGCCCGCACAAGCGGCGGAGCAUGCGGAUUAAUUCGAUGCAACGCGAAGAACCUUACCUGGGUUUGACAUACGCCGGAAAGCCACAGAGAUGUGGCCCCUUUUUGUCGGUGUACAGGUGGUGCAUGGCUGUCGUCAGCUCGUGUCGUGAGAUGUUGGGUUAAGUCCCGCAACGAGCGCAACCCUCGUUCCAUGUUGCCAGCAGCACCUUUUAGGUGGCUGGGGACUCAUGGGAGACUGCCGGGGUCAACUCGGAGGAAGGUGGGGAUGACGUCAAGUCAUCAUGCCCCUUAUGUCCAGGGCUUCACGCAUGCUACAAUGGCCGGUACAAAGGGCUGCGAUCCCGUGAGGGGGAGCGAAUCCCAAAAAGCCGGUCUCAGUUCGGAUUGGGGUCUGCAACUCGACCCCAUGAAGUCGGAGUCGCUAGUAAUCGCAGAUCAGCAACGCUGCGGUGAAUACGUUCCCGGGCCUUGUACACACCGCCCGU
rnacentral:rRNA from 1 species